ACCCUGUGAUAAAUAAAGUUAGGAACAUUAUAUAAGCUGUUGAGCGAAAUACGAGACUAAAGCUUUAGCAUCAAAAACAAUGGAGCAUCCACUUCGAUGUUAAGAGGAUGAUUAAAAUAUGCAAACAAAGCUUAAAAGAUUUAUGAUUUAGUCAAGAUAAGAGCUGACCAAUCACAACACUAAAGCAGUGAGCUACCAGCCUACCAUACAGCAGAGGUUAUAUUCAGCAUCAUGGACAAAUCCACCUUUCCAGAUAGAUUACUGAACCUGACAACUAUCUCUGAGAAGUAUCCACCACCAACACGGCCAAGAAAAUUGCAGACGCUGAUGAUUGAAACAAAGAUUCUUGGACUGGAAUAUCCAAGAGAAUCAGAUAUUUGACCCAUAUUAUCAAUGAUUGUAAUACCAGAUCCAGAACCCAAGAUUAGGGAUACAAACGUAAGCCAAAGCUCCGUCUUUCCUAAAGCUUGUAGCAAGGUAGCAGGCUCUCUUUGACUGGAUCAUUCAGUUCUGAAGAGAAUGACAGUAUGAUAGGCACUAUUGAUGGAAGUAGCAAGAUAAUGAGCAAGAUUACAGAGCAAGUUAUGGUCAAAGAUUGAUUCAAGUACUCC